AAGACGAACUCCAAGAAGGCGGCACCUUGUCCUCAACUGAGAUGCCAUUCACGCUUCUGGCACCAACUGUAAUUUUCCUCUGGAGAAUCCCUUACCUUCCUCCGCCCAUGUGUUUUCAGGGAACUAGAAGCUACUCUGGGCUCCAGUCUUUUUUUCUUAUUUUUUUUAAGGAUUAUUUAUUUAUUUUUAAAGAUUGGCACCUGGGCUAACAACUGUUGCCAAUCCUUUUAUUUUCUGCUUUAUCUCCCCCAAACCCCCGUACACAGUUGUAUAUCUUUAGUUGCAGGUCCUUCUAGUCGUGGGAUGUGGGAUACCGCCUCAACGUGGCCUGACGAGUGGUGCCAUGUCUGCACCCAGGAUCCAAACCCUGGGCCGCAGCAGCGGAGCGCGUGAACUUAACCACUCGGCCACGGAGCCGGCCCCCGGGCUCCAGUCUUGAAGACUGUGCACACACAGCUCAAACCAAUCAGCACAUUCCAUCUGUCUGGCUGGAAAGAUUGCCUUGUUAUGGGCAUACCGUUGAAGUCGCCUACCGGGAUGAAUGUGAUUCAAUUCUGGGACUUUUAUUUGAGCUUUUCUACAGGAUCUUAAGCCUGAGAGGAUGUUCAGGCUGGAGCUGCUGUUGCCAUCCUACCUCCACGUUAAGUUUAUCAGAAAGGAUGGAAGGCUGAGCCCAGAAAUAGAGAAAAUGGAAUCCUGAUGGGCUCCAAAUCCUGUCAUGUCCAAUUCGGGACAACCAUGGAAUUUUCACUUACAUGGACCUACAAAUAUCGUUCUUAAGGAGCCCCAAAUUGAAUUCUGAUUGAUAAUACAGAGAAGCCAGAGAAGCAUAAGGUGGCAGCACUUCUCAUGGUCCUGUGGCCUCUCCGCAUUUCAGCUUUUCUGAAGGAUCUACCUACAUCUCUUGGAACUAACUCCUUGGUUGGGCCCCUCAUGGUAGAGUUUUGUGAGUGCCAUAUGGCCGCUAUUUGAAGACAGACCAGCUCAAAUAUACCUUUCAAACUGGAAGACAAGCUGGACCACAUCUUCAGCAGCUGUGGGAGAUGACUGACUGCCUAUUCCUUUGAGAGAGUAACCUUUGCUUGCAUUUAUACCAAACUUCCACACCCACGUCAGAACUGGAAUCCUUGAUCCCCCAUUGCCCGGACGAAAGUAAUUAUUGAACUUGUCCACUGAAACCAUCCUCUCAUGCCCAAAUGCAGUCAGUAGCCACAAGAAAAGAAGACAUUGAACUUCAAGAAGUUGGUUUGCAGUCUGGACUUGCAGCUCUAAACUCCACCCACCACAGUGAAAUUUUGGAUGGCAGCUGCUCAGGCAAGUGGGUUGACUGGGCUUUGACCUGGGUUUGUAAAUCAGGUUAACACUCCUGUUGUUACUGCUGCCCAUAGGAAGACAUUUUUUCUGGGAUGCUCUUCACUUAAAACAAACGCCACCCUUUAAACCCAUUAAUAGCUACUUCUAUAAUAGGAGUGAGAAUGAAAAUCUCUGAUUUUGAGAGUGUACAAAGAAGCGGCAGGUUACUCAGCUGCUGGAAGUAAUUGCUAUUUGUAUAUUCAAAAUACUCAAAUGUUCACCUAUAUGCCAUCCGGGACCUCAUUAGAAUAAGUUCGUCUAUUGUUCCUCAAUCAUUUUUCACUGUAACUCUAAAUUGGUUAUUUGAAUUCUUUCAAAGAAUGCUAUGGUUGGAUUACUUGGGGAUCUGGGUAUAAAAUGCAAUCUGUCCAGUGUUUAUAUGUAAUCUUAUCGGACCAUAUCUAACUGAAUGGUAGGAAUUAGAGGUAAUGGAUCAAAUCAAUUAUUUACCCUCCUCCAAAGUAAUAUGAUAAACCAGCAGAACAGUGUGAAAAUAUAGGGAAUUUAGUUAAUGGUGCUUUUGAUUAAGAAGAGAGCAGAAAAAUAAAAAGAAAAUGACAAAAACAACAGAAAAGAAGGCAUGUUUCCAGGAAAUCUUUUUUUCAGUAGUCCAUUUUGAUGUGCCAAAUUUUGGCUGUUUAUAUUCAAUGCAUUGUGACUACUGUUCAAGUCAAUGGUUUAGUAAUUUAAUUGUCAAUUUUGAGAAACAACCAUCAGGUAACACGUGGAGGCUGGUCACACCUGAGCAAGGUGUGUGCACCACGAGGAUCCACCACCCUGAGUGUCCAGGAAGGCCCCGGGAGAUAGAUGCCAGGCAGCAUUCCUCCAGAGAGAGCACUGUGAUCCUUGGGGACUCAUUUCAGGAAAGGCAGCUGCACGUCUCUGUCAGGGAUGUUUGGGCGAAGCCAUAUUUCCUCAGCUUCUCCAAGAGUGGAGGGACCUUUUCCUGAAGAGUCUGACAGGAUUUGUUUGGGCUAAGAGAUCUGAAUCCAGGGCUCCAAGUUGCUUUUUAGAUUUUAAGAAGCAUGAUUUUCAAAUGCCUACCAUGGAGUUCCUUCUCAGACAUCUCUGUAGUGACACAUUUAUGAGCACAGAGUAGGCAUUUAUUAGUGGUCUGUUGUUUACUGAACAGUAGUAAUGCAACGCAUUAAGGAAUUGUAUAUGGAAGGUUAAGGAACUGUACCUGGAAGGUGAGAAAAAUGGAAUGUUGGAAAAACAAAACAUUUCUUUGAAUGGCCACCAUAUGGAAGGAUCUAGAUGGGAAUUCAUCUAGUGAAGGGCAGCCAGGUUGUUGUUAUGUCCCCUUCCUUUCCUUUCUGUUGAGUUUCUCAGGAAAGAAAUUUAAGAGGGAGGAACAAGUGUAGAGAUCCAGGAAGUGUGAUGGGCUAUGGGUGGGGUGGGAGACAGAUGAAGGAAGCAACUGACUUAUGGAAUGCCCUUGCAUUUUAUUUCUUGUCUUCCUAGGAUUGGUUUCCUUCACAUUUGUGUAUGUGGGGUUCAGAUUAUGUCUCAGAGCUCUCAGGAGGAUUUGAUCAGACAAACUUACCCUUAACUCCAGUAUUGGGGAAUGGUGCUGGAUUUCCCAUUUGCUGACUUUUUAAGAUCACUCUUCUUUCUUUCUUUAUGCACAUUAUGAAAAAUUUAAAAAACAUAGGGAACAGGAAAAAAAGAAUUCUUGCAAUUCCAUUAUUCAAAGUAAGCCUUUGUUAAUGGUUGUGUCCCUUUUUCCAGUCUGUGUUUUUUCCAUAUAUAUGUAGAGCAUAGGGUCAGGACUAUAAUAUCUUUGGAGUCAGGAGGGUCUCAACUCAAGUACCUGUUCUCUCUACCAGCUGUGUGAACCUGAUAAGUAACUUAGCUUGGCUGAGUCUUUUACAUGGACUGAAUAUAAAAAUACCUAUAUUAGAUGGUGACUGUAAGAAUUAAAUGAGCUUAUGUGUGAAAGUUACUUAUGUUUUAGCUAACAUUAAUAUGGUAGCUAAUGUUAACACUAUUAGAAUUGUGAUAAUAUAGGAUACAUGCCAUUUCUUGCUUUUUCCACUGAACAUUAUAACCUGUUUUCUAGCUUAUUAUAAACUCAAUACAAUCAUUUUUUGCAAGUACAUAAUAUUUUAUUGCAUAUUUUACCAAAUUAUCAUAUUUUAGCACAUGUAAUUUCCUUUAAAUUGUGUACUAUUUUAGGAAUUUUUUUAUUCUAGAAAAUAUCAUCAAAAAGUAGAGGAUAGCAGUAGAGAUAAUAGGAAAAUUAUAUGAAAGGAGAGAAAAGAAGAAAAUAAAGAAUUCAAUCUGCUACUACAUGCAGUCUAAAACACACAAAAACUUUUCAAAUUUAAUAACUUAUUUUCACAUCUUGUAUUUUUAUUCAUGGAAAAUUAUUGCAAAUUAACGGAAUGGCAAGUUGGUUGUAAAAACCUCAUCAUGGUUGGUGAGAAAGAAUGCUUGCUAGCAAUCGAUGAAAAAGCAAAUAGUUUUGGAAGUACUUUAGUUGGAAGCAGUCAAAAUGAAACCAUAAAUCUUUGGAUUGAAGCUCCUCCUUAUUGUUGUCCUCGAGAACCAUAUACUUCUGCCAGAGAUCCAUCGUCCACGCCCCUGUCCCAUGUUGCUCACUUCUGAAUCCGUGCCACACAGGUGCAUUCCAUUUGGAGAAGCUAAAUCCCAAGGAAGAAAGUAGUCCCUAGACACAAAGUAGUCUGGGAUUGCAAAUUUUCUGGGCUAAUUGCAUAAAAAAUUACCACAGUGUUGGCAGAUGGUAUAAAGUUAUUUUACACCUGUUAAAGGUAAUGAAUGUCCACCAUUAGGUUUUUGGGAGGAGGGUAUUAGCUAAUGAUAAACAUCUUUUCACUUUCUGAUAUGAGGGAAACCCACAAUGUCACCUCUUGGGUUUACGGUGGCGAAGAAAAGUCUUUUACCGCCUUUGUGGUCUCUACGAAAUGUCUGGACUCUUGAUGUUGGGACAACCAGGGUAAUGAAGUUUUGUAUGUUGAAGGACCCCAAAUAGAGGAGCUUGUGCCAAUAGGGGAGCUUAAAUUUAAUUUGAUAGAUAUUUAGUGAGUACCUAUUUAUGUGCCAGGACUUAUAGAGGGAUUGAUCAUCCUUUAAUCUUCCUAAUUUCAUACUCUUCAUGCCUCUGUUGCCAACCAGCCUUCUAGAUCUGCAGUAACAACUGCCAAAUCUUAGUGACUUGCAACCACACAGGUUGAUUUCUUACUCACCAACAUGGGACCUAGGCUGAAGAAUGACCUCUAUUGGAACCUUGUGGGUUUGAGGCCCAAAGUGAAGAAUUGUGGUGGAACCAUGCGAUGGCUAUUUAAGCUUUUGCUGAGAACUUGUCCACAUCACUUCUGCUCACAUUCAUUAGUCAGCACAGGCAUAAUUGCCAAGUCUGAUAUCAAUGGUGUGGGGAUAUAUAAUCCUUUCUCAGGGAGUGGUAUUGAAAAAUUGAGAAUAAUAAUGUAAUUUGCCGCAUUACGUGUCAGGUUGGCAUCCUCCUCUGGAGUAACUGUGGCUCUUUUUUCAGAGCUGACUCCCAGAACUAAACAUGAAUAUUCCUUGUGUGGUCUGGCCAGUACAACAUACAGAGGUGCUAUAUAACCCUUUCCUCAGUCCUAAUAUUAAGCUUUUAUAAUAAAGCCUAACAUUGUAGUAGAUUUUGUUUAUUUUUAGUGGCCAUAUCACACUGUUAUGACCCAUCGAGACUGCUGUCAUCUGAAACCUUGGGUCUUUCCCAUUCCCACAUAUUUGUGCUCCAUCCUAUGCUGCCCCUCUUCUGUCCUUUGAUGUUAACCCCAAUUUGGACCAUAUAUCAGGAGUAAGCUAGUGGCUUCACACAUCAAGCAACUUUACAGAGAGGAAACAUUUCCCCGCUUGUGUGAUUUCCUCAAAGAUCCUUCAGAAUCCCUCUAUCUCACCUGUUAUGGAUUGAAUUGUAUCCUCCUAAAUUCCUGUGUUGAAGCUCUAACCCCUAAUGUGACUGAAUUUGGAGAUAGAGCCUUUAAAGAGGUAACUAAGGUUAAGUGAGGUCACAAAGAUGGAGCUCUAAUCCGAUAGGACUGCUGUCCUUAUACGAAGAGGAAGAGACGCCACGGGUCUGGAAGCACAGAGAAAGGCUAUGCGAGGACACGGUGAGAAGGCAGCCUCAGCAGAAAGCAAUCCUGCAAGAACCUUGAUCUUGAACUUCUGACCUCCAGAACUGUGAGAACUGAAAAGGAGUUGUAUCACCCAGGGCCGGAGCUACAAGCUGUUCCCUGGCCCCCUCAGCUACUUCAAACACAGUCAGACCGAGUGCUCCACACUGUUGUAGAAGCUACGUCUCAUUUGCUGUCGGCACCAUGUGCCGCUAGAAUUGUUCAAGUGUCUGAACUGCUUUAUCCUUCUCCAUGACUGUCAGAAAAGGAAUGGAGGGUUGUUCUCAGGAGUCUCUGAGAUGCUUCCCGCUGCUGUUUACUCGUCCUGAUUCAGACUUGAAAACUUCUUUUAAGUGGAUCAAAGACAUACAGUUUGGAAUUUGAAAUGCA
rnacentral:lncRNA from 1 species